AGAGUUUGAUCAUGGCUCAGAUUGAACGCUGGCGGCAUGCCUUACACAUGCAAGUCGAACGGCAGCGCGGGAGCAAUCCUGGUGGCGAGUGGCGAACGGGUGAGUAAAGUAUCGGAACGUGCCCAGUCGUGGGGGAUAACGUAGCGAAAGCUACGCUAAUACCGCAUACGAUCUAUGGAUGAAAGCGGGGGAUCGCAAGACCUCGCGCGAUUGGAGCGGCCGAUAUCAGAUUAGGUAGUUGGUGGGGUAAAGGCCUACCAAGCCGACGAUCUGUAGCUGGUCUGAGAGGACGACCAGCCACACUGGGACUGAGACACGGCCCAGACUCCUACGGGAGGCAGCAGUGGGGAAUUUUGGACAAUGGGCGCAAGCCUGAUCCAGCAAUGCCGCGUGCAGGAUGAAGGCCUUCGGGUUGUAAACUGCUUUUGUACGGAGCGAAAAGGCUUCCACUAAUACUGGAGGCUCAUGACGGUACCGUAAGAAUAAGCACCGGCUAACUACGUGCCAGCAGCCGCGGUAAUACGUAGGGUGCAAGCGUUAAUCGGAAUUACUGGGCGUAAAGCGUGCGCAGGCGGUCUUGUAAGACAGGUGUGAAAUCCCCGGGCUUAACCUGGGAACUGCACUUGUGACUGCAAGGCUGGAGCACGGCAGAGGGGGAUGGAAUUCCGCGUGUAGCAGUGAAAUGCGUAGAUAUGCGGAGGAACACCGAUGGCG
rnacentral:rRNA from 1 species